rnacentral:rRNA from 1 species
GACGAACGCUGGCGGCGUGCCUAAUACAUGCAAGUCGAACGCAUUUUCUUUCACCGUAGCUUGCUACACCGAAAGAAAAUGAGUGGCGAACGGGUGAGUAACACGUGGGUAACCUGCCCAUCAGCGGGGGAUAACACUUGGAAACAGGUGCUAAUACCGCAUAAUUCCAUUUACCGCAUGGUAGAUGGAUGAAAGGCGCUUUUGCGUCACUGAUGGAUGGACCCGCGGUGCAUUAGCUAGUUGGUGGGGUAACGGCCUACCAAGGCUGCGAUGCAUAGCCGACCUGAGAGGGUGAUCGGCCACACUGGGACUGAGACACGGCCCAGACUCCUACGGGAGGCAGCAGUAGGGAAUCUUCGGCAAUGGACACAAGUCUGACCGAGCAACGCCGCGUGAGUGAAGAAGGUUUUCGGAUCGUAAAACUCUGUUGUUAGAGAAGAACAAGGAUGAGAGUGGAAAGUUCAUCCCUUGACGGUAUCUAACCAGAAAGCCACGGCUAACUACGG